rnacentral:rRNA from 1 species
CGACCGGCCACACUGGGACUGAGACACGGCCCAGACUCCUACGGGAGGCAGCAGUGGGGAAUAUUGCGCAAUGGGCGGAAGCCUGACGCAGCGACGCCGCGUGCGGGAUGAAGGCCUUCGGGUUGUAAACCGCUUUCACCAGGGACGAAGCUAACGUGACGGUACCUGGGGAAGAAGCGCCGGCUAACUACGUGCCAGCAGCCGCGGUAAUACGUAGGGCGCGAGCGUUGUCCGGAAUUAUUGGGCGUAAAGAGCUCGUAGGCGGCUGGUUGCGUCUGCUGUGAAAUCCGGGGCUUAACCCCGGGCGUGCAGUGGAUACGGGCCGGCUGGAGGCAGGCAGGGGAGAAUGGAAUUCCCGAUGUAGCGGUGAAAUGCGCAGAUAUCGGGAGGAACACCGGUGGCGAAGGCGGUUCUCUGGGCCUGUACUGACGCUGAGGAGCGAAAGCGUGGGGGGCAAACAGGAUUAGAUACCCUGGUAGUCCACGCCGUAAACGUUGGGCGCUAGGUGUGGGUCCCUCCACGGGUCUNGUGCCGCAGCUAACGCAUUAAGCGCCCCGCCUGGGGAGUACGGCCGCAAGGCUAAAACUC